rnacentral:rRNA from 1 species
AUUGAACGCUGGCGGCAUGCCUUACACAUGCAAGUCGAACGGCAGCACGGGUGCUUGCACCUGGUGGCGAGUGGCGAACGGGUGAGUAAUACAUCGGAACAUGUCCUGUAGUGGGGGAUAGCCCGGCGAAAGCCGGAUUAAUACCGCAUACGAUCUACGGAUGAAAGCGGGGGACCUUCGGGCCUCGCGCUAUAAGGUUGGCCGAUGGCUGAUUAGCUAGUUGGUGGGGUAAAGGCCUACCAAGGCGACGAUCAGUAGCUGGUCUGAGAGGACGACCAGCCACACUGGGACUGAGACACGGCCCAGACUCCUACGGGAGGCAGCAGUGGGGAAUUUUGGACAAUGGGCGCAAGCCUGAUCCAGCAAUGCCGCGUGUGUGAAGAAGGCCUUCGGGUUGUAAAGCACUUUUGUCCGGAAAGAAAUCCUUGGCCCUAAUACGGUCGGGGGAUGACGGUACCGGAAGAAUAAGCACCGGCUAACUACGUG